rnacentral:lncRNA from 10 species
CUCUCCCCCGUGACCUCUUCGACCCAAACCUCAAGCGAAAAUUCCCUAGCUCGCUAGACCGGCGCAGGACUGUGACUGCGCGCCUCCUUUUACCUGAGAGGGACCGCCGGGCCCCCGGGCGCAGCCGCCAAAGGCGGGGAGCCGCCGCCGCCCCGGCGCAACUCAUUGCCGGAACUAAAAAAAGCAACCACUUCGUUGAACGGAACUGGCCAAUAGUGCCCUUGGCUCGGACUGAUGACGCACAGCAGACGUAAGGAAGGCUCAGCUCGCCCGCGCACCGGCUGGAGUGCAAUGGUGUGAUCUCAGCUCACUGCAAACUCCACCUCCUGGGUUCAAGCAAUUCUCCUGCCUCAGCCUCCUGAGUAGCUGAUAUUACAGGC